GGAGAGAUGUCCGAGAGGUCGAAGGUGCUUGACUCGAAAUCAAGUGCACGGGUCAUACCGUGCCGUGGGGUUGAAGGUCUAAAUGACCGAGAGCUAGCUACUUGGCAGCAGUAGCUGCUACUCUUAAGUAGCCCCGGAACGAAUCCCCCUCUCUCCGCCA
rnacentral:tRNA from 1 species